rnacentral:rRNA from 1 species
AGUACUGACGCUGAGAUGCGAAAGCGUGGGGAGCAAACAGGAUUAGAUACCUGGUAGUCACGCUGUAAACGAUGUCGAUUUGGAGUUUGUUGCCUAGAGUGAUGGGCUCCGAAGCUAACGCGAUAAAUCGACCGCCUGGGGAGUACGGCCGCAAGGUUAAAACUCAAAUGAAUUGACGGGGGCCCGCACAAGCGGUGGAGCAUGUGGUUUAAUUCGAUGCAACGCGAAGAACCUUACCUGGUCUUGACAUCCAUAGAAUUCUGCAGAGAUGUGGGAGUGCCUUCGGGAACUAUGAGACAGGUGCUGCAUGGCUGUCGUCAGCUCGUGUUGUGAAAUGUUGGGUUAAGUCCCGCAACGAGCGCAACCCUUAUUCUUUGUUGCCAGCGAUUUGGUCGGGAACUCAAAGGAGACUGCCGUUGAUAAAGCGGAGGAAGGUGGGGACGACGUCAAGUCAUCAUGGCCCUUACGACCAGGGCUACACACGUGCUACAAUGGCGUAUACAAAGGGAAGCGAAGGUGCGAGCUGGAGCGGAUCUCAUAAAGUACGUCUAAGUUCGGAUUGGAGUCUGCAACUCGACUCCAUGAAGUCGGAAUCGCUAGUAAUCGUAGAUCAGAAUGCUACAGUGAAUACGUUCCCGGGCCUUGUACACACCGCCCGUCACACCAUGGGAGUGGGUUGCACCAGAAGUAGAUAGCUUAACCGCGAGGGGGGCGUUUACCACGGUGUGACUCAUGACUGGGGUGAAGUCGUAACAAGGUAACCA